GACGAACGCUGGCGGCGUGCUUAACACAUGCAAGUCGAACGGAAAGGCCCUGCUUUUGUGGGGUGCUCGAGUGGCGAACGGGUGAGUAACACGUGAGUAACCUGCCCUUGACUUUGGGAUAACUUCAGGAAACUGGGGCUAAUACCGGAUAGGAGCUCCUGCUGCAUGGUGGGGGUUGGAAAGUUUCGGCGGUUGGGGAUGGACUCGCGGCUUAUCAGCUUGUUGGUGGGGUAGUGGCUUACCAAGGCUUUGAAGGGUAGCCGGCCUGAGAGGGUGACCGGCGACAUUGGGACUGAGAUACGGCCCAGACGCCUACGGGAGGCAGCAGGGGGGAAUAUUGCACAAUGGGCGGAAGCCUGAUGCAGCAACGCCGCGUGCGGGAUGACGGCCUUCGGGUUGUAAACCGCUUUCGCCUGUGACGAAGCGGGAGUGACGGUAAUGGGUAAAGAAGCACCGGCUAACUACGUG
rnacentral:rRNA from 1 species